rnacentral:rRNA from 1 species
CUACGGGUCGCUGCAGUGAGGAAUAUUGCGCAAUGGAGGGAACCCUGAUGCAGCAACGCCGCGUGGAGGAUGACGCAUUUCGGUGUGUAAACUCCUUUUAUAUGUCAAGAAAAUGACGGUAGCAUAUGAAUAAGCACCGGCUAACUCCGUGCCAGCAGCCGCGGUAAUACGGAGGGUGCAAGCGUUACUCGGAAUCACUGGGCGUAAAGGACGCGUAGGCGGGUUGGAAAGUCAGGUGUGAAAUCCUACAGCUUAACUGUAGAACUGCACUUGAAACUUCUAAUCUAGAGUAUGGGAGGGGGAGAUGGAAUUAGUGGUGUAGGGGUAAUAUCCGUAGAUAUCACUAGGAAUACCUAAAGCGAAGGCGAUCUCCUGGAACAUUACUGACGCUAAGGCGUGAAAGCGUGGGGAGCAAACAGGAUUAGAUACCCUCGUAGUC